AGGGAUAUAGCUCAGUGGUAAAGUGCUUGCCAAGCACGCAUGAGGUCCUGGGUUCAACCCCCAGUACUG
rnacentral:tRNA from 1 species